rnacentral:rRNA from 1 species
AGUGAACGCUGGCGGUAGGCCUAACACAUGCAAGUCGAACGGCAGCACAGUAAGAGCUUGCUCUUACGGGUGGCGAGUGGCGGACGGGUGAGGAAUACAUCGGAAUCUACUUUUUCGUGGGGGAUAACGUAGGGAAACUUACGCUAAUACCGCAUACGACCUACGGGUGAAAGCAGGGGAUCUUCGGAACUUGCGCGAUUGAAUGAGCCGAUGUCGGAUUAGCUAGUUGGCGGGGUAAAGGCCCACCAAGGCGACGAUCCGUAGCUGGUCUGAGAGGAUGAUCAGCCACACUGGAACUGAGACACGGUCCAGACUCCUACGGGAGGCAGCAGUGGGGAAUAUUGGACAAUGGGCGCAAGCCUGAUCCAGCCAUACCGCGUGGGUGAAGAAGGCCUUCGGGUUGUAAAGCCCUUUUGUUGGGAAAGAAAAGCAGCAGGCUAAUACCCCGCUGUUCUGACGGUACCCAAAGAAUAAGCAACGGCUAACUUCGUG